rnacentral:sRNA from 1 species
UUCACUUAGUUCCCAGGCUGGCUUUGAAUUUCGGCCUCCUACCUUCUCUCCACAGUAGUUGGAAUUUCAGGUAUGUCUCAUGCUUGGCAGGAUUUUGGAUAUGAAUGAGACCAGUCCAGGAUGGUGCAGGCUUUUAUAGUUUGGUGAAAUAGUUUUCUAAAGAGGCUGUUAUUGUGAUUACUUUUGAGAAGUAGAAUGUCAUUGUAAAAGAGAAAAUAAAAAUAGCAGCUAGCAUAUCGUAGGCGUAAGUGCUGGCCUCUUCCAAGUAGCUGGCACUUGGCUUCUGACUCAUGGUUGGGAAGGGAGGUAGAUCAGUGGCCUACUUUUUGCAGGUGGAAACUGAGGAGCAAAGCUCCAGCUUUUGUUCAAGGUCAGUGGAACUGGUGAACAGUCGAGCUGAUGGUCCACCCAGGUCGUCUUGAGUCCAGGGCUCAUUUGUUCUGGACAGUAUCCUAGUCAGCCCUGGCGCUACUCAUGAACAGUGGGAAUCCCUCUUGUGGUUGUUCAGUCAGUCAGAAACUGUUUCCCCAGCACGUAGACUCCCAGCAUUUGAAAUGUGUCAGUAAGGAUGAGCGUAGUACUUUGUUUUUCCAAGCCAGUGCAAUUUUUAAUAUCAAACUUGAGAUGCAGUGGGGAGGUGUGUGCCUCAUUAGAUCUAACAUCAUCAUUGUUAGAUCUAAUCUAACGUCCUGGUCUUCCCAUGCCUGGCUGCAGGGAGGAGCACCAUGGGAGUUAACAUAGGAGGCCUGCUCACUGGAGUGUAACUGUAGGACUUCUGAGAGUCUGGGAUUCAAACGGGAUCACUAUCUCCCUUCUCAACACCAACACUUGGUGUUUAUUUAAGAGAGAGUUCUCUGCUGAGAUGACAGGGAAAAGAGUUAAACCACUGAAGAUAAACCUUAUCUUUGACUCGGUGUGGGACCUCCUAAGGGAUAGUGUCAAUGCUUCUCAUUAAAAGUGGUAACGCUCAAUUAGGUCAGAUUGUGAGGACUUAGGAAAGUCAAAUAUUCUGAGACUUCAGUUAUCACACUGUAGCAUUGAGUGAGGUUCCAUUUGCACAUAUGGUCUUUAGCAUUUUUAUAAAAUCAGUCCAAUUUUAAGCAGAUUUCUUAGUAUUUUACUUUAUUGAGAGUAUCACCCUAAAAUGUCAAAUCUUGGUAUGUUUCCAGUGUACUGCAAAGUAGGGCAACUCCAAAUAUGUUAUGUAGCCCAGGCUGGGUUAAUUCUUCUGCCUCAGCCUCCCAAGUGCUAAGACUGUGUGGUACUGUCAGACCUGUCCCCUCCCCACUUUUGGAGAUCUGUGUUUGGGGUGCUCUGGGCAACGCAGUGUGUCAGCCUGAAGGAUUCUUGCACAUAGACACAUUCCCAUCCUGUGUCAGAUUCGUUCAUCAAACCACAAACGAAGACAUUUUAUUUUUAGAUUGUCUUUGCUGCUUUUUCCUCUCUAACUCCCUUAUCCCUGUCAUAACCCUCCUCAUCUUGUCUCUGGGAAUUUUUUAGUUGUUGGUACUUUGUGAAGGGUCUCAAUUAGAGUCCCAGUGUCUUCUUACGUUGACUUUCGUUGAUGUCUUUUGUAGCAAAGACUCCUUGUUCUCAAAGAAUAUUUGGCUAUAUGUAUUCAGCUGAAAGUUGGAUCAGGCCUUAAAUGUUACGGAAUAAGCUUUUAAAUUCUCUGAAUUUUGGCAUUGACGUGGAUGAAAGUCGGCUUUGGGAUGGUGAAACUUGUUACAGCGUGAGAGGUCAGGUGGACCAGUGCUCACAGGUCCCAGGUCAGGGAAGCAAACCUGAGGAUCCUGUUGUUCCUGUGCUUAAGCUGGAGAAGUGCUCAGAAGGGUGGCGAAGCCAGCCUUGGCCAUCGGGCAGUACCAGUCCAUCCACCGAGGAGAGCUCUCGGACUGCUUCCAGCUAGGCAGCCGGGUCAAGGGGAAGAUGAGUGAGUGACUGAAGCUUGACAGCUUGUUCUACUUUUGAACUGUUAUCAAGAUAGAACUUGUCUAGGCUUCUCGAGAAGUAGCUUCAGGUAGAGGAACAGGGUCUUGUCUGAAGGUUUGAUUGUGAAGGGCGUGGUGAACAUUCCUUGUAACUCUUUAGAUCUUGAUGUGUUUGAUGCUUUUGAUAUCUUUCCCACAACACUAAUCCUAUCCCGAAUGAGCACCAACUUUGGGGAAUUUAUACUUGUAUUCCCUGUUCCUACAUGACUUUAUAACAGCGUGCGGGUGUGCGUGUGCAUUUCGCUGGGAGUAGAAUUGAAGGCCUCAUGCUCCUUGGGCAGACACUCCCACGGAACCAUGUUCCUACUCUGUGAUGCUUUUAGUACCAAGAAAGUCAGUAUUUUUAGCUUUGAGGUUAUUUUUAUGUGUUAUUUGCUGGUUUAUUCUGAUUUUAUCUUGAAUGGCAAAGAUUUUAUUUUUGUUUUUUCCCUCCAGACUUCAGCAGAUGAUACAGUUUAAAUGUUCUCAAAGUGGAAGUCUGAGUUGUUGUUGUGUUGGGUUUUUAAAAUCUAUUCUAUCUUUGCAUGUUAUUGCCAACACACAGGAGGUGUAAUUGUUUUAUCAUUGAAGUGACAACUUUGCUUGUAAGACCCAUGAUUUUGUUGUGUUUCUGUACUUGAUGUUUCAAAGUCUUGAACAUUAAACUGGAGUAGUUUGGUGAAGUUGCUUCCUAGUCACAGUGUGGGUGUGACGUCUUCUGGGCCUGGCAUCUCUCCUGUCCAUUAACAUUUCACACAAACAGCAAUUAGCUUACCAAAUUAGAGUGUUUGCUGAUGACAUUUGUUAGCAGGGCCAUGAGGAGAGUGCGUUUAUUUACAUGUGGAUGCUCCUGCUGCUUUCAGGUGGUGGCAGGAGGUUAGUGCACGUGCCGUGGAGAAGGAGACCAGCCCGGUGGUGCGCUGCUGCUUCUGCUUGGAUAUGGACCACCUUGUCGAGAAGUUGCCAGCAGUGGGAAGCUGCUUAUUAUUGUUGGUCUUUAUAAAAGUAAACAUCGUAAUUAGUAAACUAUAAUGUGGUACGCAGUGUACAUUUUUAUUUUGUUUAUGAAAGGUUAUGUUUUUGAGAGUAUGUAAUGAGACGGAGGGAAGUACUAGAGAAACAAUACUGGAUUAAACCGGAGCUGGUCUCUACAAAGGUGCAGGGUAAACCCCAAUCAGUGCUCCGAGGGAACCCAGAAAGGAUCCGUGUUAGCUUCACAAGUGGGUUUACAAUUCUUGAGCCGCUAUUCUUUAGAAACCAUCUUUGUUCAUACGUCCCUUUUCUAGUUUGCUCCACUUUUGAUCUUUGAUAAGCCAGCUGCAGUAUUGUUUCAUUAACAGACUUGACUGGUUAACAGAUGUUUGCCCUGGCUUGAUUGCGUCCCCCUAUUAAACCAGCAUAGGCACUCAUGGAGACCAUGCUGGGCCUUUUCCUGUCUCCGAAGACUGGCAGUUCAAAAGAGCAACUUAAUUUCAUUUACAAGUUCAGUUUUAAUUCCUUGGUGUUACUCUGGAAGGCACGUGACAUUUAGCUUGUGUUCUCCCUCCUCAGGGAGGUCUGCUGUUCGUCCUCCUUGCUGCUGCUUGUCUUCCGUGCAGCCCCUCACUUGGGGCUGGCUCUGUUGUUGUUAAGCAUAGUGCAGUCUUCGCAUGCAGCAAGAGGGGUGCCAAGGACCUGAUUGAGACAUCAUGGCUCUUCCACAUUUCAAGGGAAGGAGAGGGAACAGUCUGGAGCAUGUAGAGACUCUCUCCCACCUUCUUUGAUGUCAGACAGCUGGCAUGUGGAGUGCAGGGAGGAGGAGGAGGAGAGCCUGGGUCCAGGCUGCCUGUGAUCUUCCCAGUGACUUGGGCUGGGAGCCAAAGGCAGUGUGGUUUCUGCAGUAGUUCCUGAUGGGACCAGCCCUGUGUUUUGUCCAGUUUCCUGCUGUGCUUGCGGCCCUCUCCAGGCAUAAAUAGGAAGGAUGAAGCCCAAAAUAAGAGUGUAAAGAUUAUAAGGAACAAGAGAAACAGCAGAAGAAAAGAAAGCACAAGCUAAACCCAGUAACAAGGUCAUCAAAGAUGACUCUGUCCUCAUGGUAGACCUGUUUCUCUGGAAUUUUAAUGUCAUGUGUUUCUCGCUUAUAACAAAACCAGAUUUUAGCUAUUGAGCUCGAAUUGUGAGUGAAGCUGCAGCAGGUUAACAUGUGCUUGUGGAGGUGUGGGGCUCUCUGUGUGGAGCACCAGCUGUUCAUCGCAUCCUGCUUGUAAGGGAGGGACCGGGGAGAGCGGGCAGUCGAGGGAGCUGGGCACCCUUUCUCCCUUACCUGUGUAAGUUUUGGGUUUGGUGUGGUAGCUCAGGCCCUUAACUCUAGCACUCGGGAGGCAGGGCGGGCAGCUCUGCAUGCACGGCCAGCCUGGGCUACAGAGGUGAGUUCAAGGCCAGCCUGGGCUACAGAGGUGAGUUCAGGACUGCCAGGGCUUUAUAGAGAAAGACCCUGUUUCAAAACAAAACAGUAACAAAGAGACUGAACAGGAGAUGAUUUUAGAUGAACUAUUGGAAAGUAAAUGGCAGACAUCAUUGUCACAUCCUUAGCCAUUUAGUGAGGAGUGAGAACAGCCUCCUGUAUGGAUCAGCACUGUCACUCACGGAAGAAGACAUCACAAGUGAAGUCAGAGGGUUACCAAUAGCCGUAUCUUCUCAAAUGAGCCUUACUGUUAUUUGUAACUUGGUUUAAGACUCAGCAGAGUUCACAAGUGGCAUUUGGUCACCAUGACUCUCAGCAGAGAACAGCUUUUUUGUUAUUUCCGGAGACUUUGCCAGUUUUGAAGAGUUGUUUUGUAGGUUAUCUUGAGCUGGUAAUUUCUCUGGAGACUGGAACACAGGGCCUCCUGAAUGCUACCCAAGCCUGCACCACAGAGGUGCAUUUUCAGCUUCCAGGUCUUCCUUUGUAGGAGUAGCCCCUCUCCCCUUUUGUGAUUGGUAAGUGCUCAGUGCAGGCUUGAGGCCAUGUGACUAACCUUGUGCUCACUGUGUUUGAAUUUCCAUUGCUGCUUUGUUCACAUAAACUUAGUGUUGAAAGCUUUGCAGUCUAAUUCUUUCGUUCUGUGGUUAGGAAGUCUAACAUGGUUCUCUGUCAGGUUAAGGACGACAGCAGCAUAGCCUUCUAGCAGAGUCUUGUUUCCUCGCUUUUGUUCCCAGCUCCUAGGCUGCUUACUCAGAGUUUGACUCAGGGUUCUUGUCCUGCCUUUAACACCAGCCACUCGGCAUCUCUGACCAUUCCUCUACAGGUGCCUGGCUUUAAAGCUGGGUUUCGGUUUAGCUGGUCAGGACUGGUUAACGUCUCACACCAGCCUCCCUUGCUGGGGGGGGGGGGGGAGGAGUGGUGGGGGCACGACUAUAAUCCCAGCUGUCAGGAGGCCAAAGCCCGAUUUAUUCAAAUUCAGGGCCAACUUGGGCUCUGUACUGAGACCCUGUCUCAAAAGCAAAGCAAAACAAUAAGUAAAACCCAUUCCCUUUAAAAUUAAAAACCAAAACAAAGUAUUUAAGUCCUUUCUUUUUACUAUCUGCCAGGUUACCAUGUGGACAACGAUGACAGAGGCCCUGGGCCUUAAGUAUGGGUGCUGUGGGCUGGCCAUCAUGUUGUCCCCUUGGUGCACAGUGCUUUACUCCACUCAGAUUUUGUAGUAUGGCAGAAUAUGCUUACAGAGAUGGGUCAUUCUCUGGGAGUGAAGCUGGCCUCAGGUUGCAGUGUGCUUGUCUGGGUUCUAGGACUGAAGGAAGCUAUGUUCCUGAAUUGUUUCUAAGGGUGGUAGCAGGGCCUGUCUUGCCCCUACAUGAUGGUGUCCCUUUACCAACAAAUGAAUAUACCAGUGUAGUUUGGAAAACUUUGUGGGGCUGGAGUAGGAAUUGAGACAGGGUCGUACUCUGCAAAUUUAGGUUGACCAGGAACCCAAAGUGUAGCUCAGGCUGGCCUUGAACUCAGACUUCCUAUAUUAGCUUUUGGCAUGCUGAGAUUACACUUGUGCUAGAUCCUGCUUCUGGGUUUUCCCACGGGGUCUGGAAAUUGAACUUGGAUCCUGUUGUUUGUUUUUGAGAUAGUUUACUGUUCUAAGGGUAGCUGGCCUUCAACUUGAAGUUUGUGUGUUCAUGGUGAAGGCACGUGACUUUUGAGAAAUACAUUUAGAGAGAAAGAUCUUUUAGCUGAAUGCCCUCAGAGCACAUUUAAAAAGUAGCUAGCAGCCCAGGGGUGCGUCUCAGUAUGCGAAGGCACUUGCCACUAAACCUCAUGACUGGCGUUCAAUUCUGAGAGCUCGCGGGGUAGGAAAGGGCUGAUCCCAGCCUGCUGUCCUCUCACGUCCACACGUGCCCCACAGUGUGGGCCUCACAUUCCACAGUAAACAAAUACGUGUAAAGAUGAAUUUUAGAAACAAAAAAAAAA